GGCAACCCUGACGGAGCAACGCCGCGUGAGGGAGGAAUGUCUGUGGAUUGUAAACCUCUUUUCUCUGGGAAGAAGAUCUGACGGUACCAGAGGAAUCAGCAUCGGCUAACUCCGUGCCAGCAGCCGCGGUAAGACGGAGGAUGCGAGUGUUAUCCGGAAUUAUUGGGCGUAAAGGGUCCGCAGGUGGCUAUUCAAGUCUGCUUUCAAAGAGUGGAGCUCAACUCCAUAGAGGGAGUGGAAACUGAGUAGCUAGAGUAAGGAAGGGGUAAGAGGAAUUCCCAGUGUAGCGGUGAAAUGCGUAGAUAUUGGGAAGAACACCAGCAGCGAAGGCGUCUUACUGGUCCUUAACUGACACUGAUGGACGAAAGCUAGGGGAGCG
rnacentral:rRNA from 1 species